rnacentral:lncRNA from 1 species
CAGUCUCUCUCUAACUUUAUCCUGGUAUAGCAUCCGUCUCUUAUCCUUUAUCUCUGUGAAUCUCUCUCGCUAACUCUUUCUCUCUCUUGGAGCAUAAAAAUCCAUCCAUCUCAAACUUAGUGGUUUACUUCUUUACUAUGUUUUUAGAUAGAAAAAGAACUUGGGUAUUUUGUUGUUAUAGAGAAGAAAGGAAGAAUAAAUUCCUAAGUUCUUUAUCUUUCAAAGCUUCCGCUCAACUUUAGCUUUUAACCCAAAAGAAUCUCUUCAUUUUGACGCGCCCACAGCCACAAAAAACAGCAACAGUAAGUCAGUCACAGAGUUGGUGGCAAAAAAUCUCUUCACAUCAGGAUUAGGUUUGGGGAUUGGGUGUGAGAGAGAAGCAGCAGGCAAAUAUACAAAAUCUCAAAGAAGAUCGAAGGAUUAGGUUUGGGGAUGAGCCUUAAUCUGUUUUUUUUUUUUUCCUAAAAAUGUUAGGC